rnacentral:tmRNA from 1 species
GGGGGUGUACCGGUUUCGACUGUUACGGUUUGGGUUGUAGGUUGCAGAUGGAGUGUCGAUCUCCUGAUUCGACAAAAAUUAUAAUUGCCAAUUAUAAUGACAAUUAUGCUCUCGCUGCUGCUUAAGCAGUGAAGCCGGGAACCAGUACCGCUGCUUUGAGGUGCUGAAUUUCCUGUCGCAAUCAAAGCUGGAUACAUAGCGAGUCUGAGCGCUAUGGAUUGAGAAAUUUCAGAAUACGGGUUAAACCGCAUGCCGUGAAGCCACGUUUAGCUCGACAAUCUUAAUACACGGCUAAAUCUGUAGAGAUCUACGGUUCACGUAGUAGGACGCGGGUUCGACUCCCGCCACCUCCAUUG